UGCCAGCCGCCGCGGUAAUACGGAAGGUGCGAGCGUUAAUCGGAAUCACUGGGCGUAAAGCGCACGUAGGCGGUUGGGUAAGUCGGAUGUGAAAGCCCUGGGCUUAACCUGGGAAUUGCAUUCGAUACUGCUCGACUUGAGUAUGGGAGAGGGUAGCGGAAUUCCGGGUGUAGCGGUGAAAUGCGUAGAUAUCCGGAGGAACAUCAGUGGCGAAGGCGGCUGCCUGGACCAAUACUGACGCUGAGGUGCGAAAGCGUGGGGAGCAAACAGGAUUAGAUA
rnacentral:rRNA from 1 species